rnacentral:rRNA from 1 species
GACGAACGCUGGCGGCGUGCUUAACACAUGCAAGUCGAACGGAAAGGCCCUGCGUUUGUGGGGUGCUCGUGUGGCGAACGGGUGUGUAACACGUGUGUAACCUGUCCUUGUCUUUGGGAUAACUUCAGGAAAAUGGGGCUAAUACCGGAUAUGAGCUCCUGCUGCAUGGUGGGGGAUGGAAAGUUUCGGCGGUUGGGGAUGGACUCGCGGCGUAUCAGCUUGUUGGUGGGGUAGUGGCGUACCAAGGCUUUGAAGGGUAGCCCGCCUGAGAGGGUGAACGGCCACAUUGGUCCUGAGGUACGGCCCAGACGCCUACGGGAGGCAGCAGUGGGGAAUAUUGCACAAUGGGCGGAAGCCUGAUGCAGCAACGCCGCGUGCGGGAUGACGGCCUUCGGGUUGUAAACCGCUUUCGCCUGUGACGAAGCGUGAGUGACGGUAAUGGGUAAAGAAGCACCGGCUAACUACGUG